UUGCAGCUCAAAUGGUAGAAAUUUAAUCCGUGAAUGUGACAGUCAGGCUAGUGGUGAUUUCGGAACACCAAGAGUUCUCGUACACACAAUGAUGUCGACAUAAUUUGCACACCAGAGAGUUCUGUCAUCACACCAUUUGCUGCGAAGAUUUGACGAAAAUCACGUUCUUAUUCAAACAACAACAAACCAUAUAACAAUGGAUUGUAUAUUCAAGGAAGCGGAGAAGCCGAAGAUAUAAAAUGGAUAUUUCAGGUGGUCUUGGAAGAUCUGCUGGAAAGAUAUGGCGUGUUGGUCUGAUGGGGUUGAACAGUACAAAAGAUAAUGUAAAUCUUGUACUAAAAGCCUUCAAGGA
rnacentral:misc_RNA from 1 species